rnacentral:lncRNA from 13 species
GUUUAUUUCUAUGGCAAACUACAGCACACAAAGACUUUGAAUCAGAAAAUCUACUUUGGAAAGGAAUUGCAUUCAGGAUAAUCAAAAACUUCUGAAAUGAGUCCUGCUCAUUUUCAGGCUAUUUGCGGCUGCACCUGUUCAGACACUGUUCCAACUGGCUUGUGGUUUAACCACUCCCUCGACACUCUUGAUUAAGAAUAGGGCUUCAUCAAACAGAGUUUCCUUCUGUUUCCCAGGCUGGAAUGCAGUGGCACAAUCUCGGCUCACUGAAACCUCUGCCUCCCAAGUUCAAGUGAUUCUCCUGCCUUGGACUCUUCAUAGCUGGGAUUAAAGCAGACAUUGAGGAACCAUUUGCAUAAUGGCAUCUGCUUCAGAUUUACACCCGGU